AUCGAACGCUGGCGGCAGGCCUAACACAUGCAAGUCGAGCGAGCGGCGGACGGGUGAGUAAUGUAUGGGGACUGCCCGAUAGAGGGGGAUAACUACUGGAAACGGUGCCUAAUACCGCAUACUAUCGGAUAACCCAUAUGGGAUUAGCAAGUAGGUGGGGUAAAGGCUCACCUAGGCGACGAUCCCUAGCUGGUCUGAGAGGAUGAUUAGCCACACUGGGACUUAGGCACGGCCCAGACUCCUACGGAGGCAGCAGUGAGGAAUGUUGCACAAUGGGCGCAAGCCUGAUGCAGCCAUGCCGCGUGUAUGAAGAAGGCCUUAGGGUUGUAAAGUACUUUCAGCGGAGAGACGUUACCCGCAGAAGAAGCGCCGGCUAACUCCGUGCCAGCCGCCGCGGUAAUUC
rnacentral:rRNA from 1 species